rnacentral:rRNA from 1 species
AUUGAACGCUGGCGGCAGGCCUAACACAUGCAAGUCGGGCGGGCGGCGGACGGGUGAGUAAUGUAUGGGGAUCUGCCUGAUGGCGGGGGAUAACUACUGGAAACGGUAGCUACUACCGCAUACCGUCAUAUGAACCCAUAUGGGAUUAGCUUGUAGGGGAGGUAACGGCUCACCUAGGCGACGAUCCCUAGCUGGCCUGAGAGGAUGAUCAGCCACACUGGGACUGAGACACGGCCCAGACUCCUACGGGAGGCAGCAGUGGGGAAUCUUGGACAAUGGGCGCAAGUCUGACCGAGCCAUGCCGCGUGAAUGAAGAAGGCUUUCGGGUUGUAAAGCACUGUCAGUCGGGAAGCGGUACCGAACGAAGAAGCACCGGCUAACUCCGUGCCAGCCGCCGCGGUAAUUC